UACGGAGGGUGCAAGCGUUAUCCGGAUUCACUGGGUUUAAAGGGUGCGUAGGCGGACAGGUAAGUCAGUGGUGAAAUCUCCAAGCUUAACUUGGAACUGCCGUUGAUACUAUCAUUCUUGAAUAUCGUGGAGGUAAGCGGAAUAUGUCAUGUAGCGGUGAAAUGCUUAGAUAUGACAUAGAACACCGAUUGCGAAGGCAGCUUGCUACACGAUCAUUGACACUGAGGCACGAAAGCGUGGGGAUCAAACAGG
rnacentral:rRNA from 1 species